ACUCCAGGGCAGCGUCCAGCUGGUGACCUGAGAGGGCAGUGGCGCACCAGUCUCCAUGAAGGUUGAGCUCCGAUGGCCAACGGCCAUUUCCACCUUGUGGUCUACAACUCUUCAUCCCGACUGCAUGGAGGUUGGUCUCUCUCUUCAGCUGGAUUUAGGCCACCAUCUGAGCCCCCGGGGUACGUUUUGUCUGACCCUGGCGCCAUUCGAACGGUUCUUCUACAGCAUCAGUUCUCUUUCCUGCCACCAUGUGAAGAAGGACAUGUUUGCUUCCCCUUCUGCCAUGAAUGGACAGGGUCCUGCUGUGUUGCCCAGGCUGGCCUUGAACUCCUGGCUUCAAACAGUCUUCCCACUUGGGCUCCCAAAGUGCUGGGAUUAAAGGGGCGAGUUACAGCACCAGGACCUGAAAUGUUCUAUUAUGGGGAGGACAUGUGGGUUUUCUUCUGCUUCCUAAAGAGACAAAGCCCUAGCAACUGAUCAACUGGAGUGGACAGUUCUCUUGUCCCAGGGGAAUCUGGUGCCUGAGAGCUGUCAUUUGAGGAUUCCAGGAGAGUUCUUGUGGAUUUCAAGUGAACUUUCUGAACCUAAAAAUUUGGGAAAUGUAGACUUCCCCAAGAGAAUAUGACUUAAGGAGCAGGAAUGAAAAAAACAGGAGCUGUGCCAUUGUCAAAAGAAAAACAUGGCCAGCAAAGCAGGUGAGGCAAAGAUCAGGAAGGACAUUAAACGCCAAACUAAGGAGCGGAACUGAAUGAGCAGUGAAGGGGAACAAUGGCUUCAGCAGGUCCACUGGGCUCCUCUUUUCUGUCAGCCUCCCCCUACCCCUCACCUCUGUACUACUCAUGUUACUAUCUACGUCUCUUCACCAAUGUCAUUGUGGAAAUAAAAGCUUAUCUGUAAGAGU
ensembl:lncRNA PPP1R3B-DT PPP1R3B divergent transcript